GAUGAACGCUAGCGGCAGGCUUAACACAUGCAAGUCGAGGGGUAUUGGUUUUCGGACCCAAGAGACCGGCGCACGGGUGCGUAACGCGUAUGCAAUCUACCUUUUGCAGAGGGAUAGCCCCAGAGAAAUUUGGAUUAAUACCUCAUAGUAUAGUACUUUGGCAUCAAGGAACUAUUAAAGUCACAACGGCAAAAGAUGAGCAUGCGUCCAUUAGCUAGUUGGUAAGGUAACGGCUUACCAAAGGCUACGAUGGGUAGGGGUCCUGAGA
rnacentral:rRNA from 1 species